CCUGGAGUUCAUUUACUGCGCAGGCUUUAGCGCUUUUAGAUGCAAUUGUGUGAUCAGAGGUGAUAUCCUGCUGUGAAAGAUCUGGAAACGUUUCUAGACAUCUCAUUCUUGUAACCGUACUUGAAAUUGAAAUUGUGCAGUGGAUGCAGCCUGUAGUUUUUGCUGGUAUCCUCAGCCAUGUUGUGGCAGUUCGGUGCUGUAUACCCAGACAUGUUUGUCUGGACUGCGGUGAUUCUUCCUAGUUAUGCUGUUUGUCUUUAGCUGCUGAUUCUCCUAUGUGAUAAGCUACUGAUCUCUCUUUAAAGGGAGAGAAGGGGUGGGGGGGAAAGCCCUUCUCUUCCCUUGCUCCCUGACCUCCAGAAUCUUCCUGCCUCCAGUGUCUGUUACUUGCAUUGUCUGUCUUUUAUGCUUUUAUUGCACCAGCUCCUCGGGCAGUCAGUGCCAUGGAAAGAAAGCUGACACACUGCUGCAGUUCUGUUCAGCAGAGUCCUGCCAGUGCUAAUCAGUCAGUGGUGUGUGUUGGCUAAAUGACAUAAGGUCCCUUGCAGCUUCUUUCAGGAUUUACUGCAAGUCAUUGCUUCUCAAUAGCAAUACGGUUUUUGUCCCCCAUGGCCUUCCCCACCCAAACUGGAUCAGCAGAGCCUUGGAUACCUGCCGCAUGUACUGUGGUUUCAUCACCAGCCUGCAAUUGGGGAAGACUUCCUUGAUCACCAGGUUCAUGUAUGACAGCUUUGACAACACCUACCAGGUAAAUUAAUUCGUCUUAUUGUCUUCUGUAAGGCUUCUGUAUUGUCUCCAUUCCCGUGUCUUCCAUUGCAGGAAGAACCCAUUUAACUGCAGUGAAUAGAGGUUGGUAGAUGAGCCAAAUUCUUAGCUUUGAGUCUCCAAAGCUUUAUAGUUGAACAGCCUUUCAAAACAGUACUUGUGUUACAUUCUGCUGAAGUAGCUUAUCCACUACUUGUGUCAGGAUGAUCUGUGGUUUGAAAGCAUAGGCCUCUUAUGUACAUCUAAGUGAUAUCAAUUAAGUCUACCAGGCUUUUUCACCAUUUGCUACCAGACCUUCACAAAUCAAAUGUAUCUGUAGGGAGAAUCUAACAGGUGUUCGGCUCUGCUGAAAAGAGUAGUAGUAAAGCUGAGCCCCAAGAGGUUCUGCAGUGGAGUGUAGGGCUGCAUGCAGCCCUGUUUAGGACGCUAUUUUAUGCUGCCUCCAAAACCAAAAACCACAACACUUUAAACAAGGUUGGGAUUGACAAGGAGGGCCUGAGACAGUGAUUGUCUCUUAUUCCGUUGGCCCUGCAGCCCCCCACUGCUUAGUGUUUGCUGACACGUCAGUUCGAGUCGACACUCAAGCUAACGCUCCUGAAUUCUAGGGGAGCAAUUAUCAUUGCUAACUCUCAGAUUCUGGGAUAAGCUUGAGACGACAGCAAUUUAUAAAAGUACACCAUGAAACCAAAAAUGGGUCUUCUGCAACCGAAAGCAUGUUUCAUGACUUAUUUACAGUUAGUGACAUUCUGUAUAUGCUAAACUGAGAAAAUCUGUUCCCUAAAGAAUGUGGAGGGAUACUUGGGGGUGGGGAGGCAAGGUAAUAAAAAAACCCCAGCUGUGACUCUUCUGUCA
rnacentral:lncRNA from 1 species